UACGUAGGGUGCGAGCGUUAAUCGGAAUUACUGGGCGUAAAGCGUGCGCAGGCGGUUUGCUAAGACCGAUGUGAAAUCCCCGGGCUUAACCUGGGAACUGCAUUGGUGACUGGCAGGCUAGAGUAUGGCAGAGGGGGGUAGAAUUCCACGUGUAGCAGUGAAAUGCGUAGAGAUGUGGAGGAAUACCGAUGGCGAAGGCAGCCCCCUGGGCCAACACUGACGCUCAUGCACGAAAGCGUGGGGAGCAAACAGG
rnacentral:rRNA from 1 species